rnacentral:tRNA from 1 species
GGUUAUGGCUCAACGGUAGAGCACUCGCCUUGUAUGUGUGAGACCCUGGGUUUGAUUCUCAGCACCA